rnacentral:rRNA from 1 species
UACGGGGGGAGCAAGCGUUGUUCGGAUUUACUGGGCGUAAAGGGCGCGUAGGCGGUCAGCACAAGUCAGUUGUGAAAUCUCCGGGCUUAACUCGGAAAGGUCAACUGAUACUGUGCGACUAGAGUGCAGAAGGGGCAACUGGAAUUCUCGGUGUAGCGGUGAAAUGCGUAGAUAUCGAGAGGAACACCUGCGGCGAAGGCGGGUUGCUGGGCUGACACUGACGCUGAGUGCGCGAAGCUAGGGUAGCAAACGGG